rnacentral:sRNA from 1 species
CUUCCGGCCGUGCGGUCCGCGCUUUUGUCCCGCCGGCGGCCGGGUUCCCGCGGCGCCGCCAUAGCCAGUUGCCUUCUUCCUCAUCUCUGCAGUAACUGUCUUCAUGGUUUCAUAGCCUUCUCCCUGAUACCCCUCCCCAGUGUCACAUUUGAAGACGAGCACUGAGGAUGAGGAACCAACUGAAGAAUAUGAAAAUGUUGGAAAUGCAGAAUCUAAGUGGCCAAAAGUGGAGGAUCCUAUGCCUGAAUCUAAGUUUCAGAUGAACUCCCAUAAUGAAUGAUGAAUUUGUGAUGAGGGAUAACAUGGAAGUGGUAUUCACACAUUAUGCUACAAUAAAAGAUUAUACCAUGGAGAGGAUUUUGACACAUUCAGUAACUAAUGGAACACACCGUCAACAUGAAUUUGCACCUUACAUAACAGAAAUGAUUCAGGGAUUCCUGUGAAUAGAAAUGCUGAGAAGGAACGCAUUUUAUCACAGAAGCUAAAAAGCUAAGUACCAGUCAUCUAGAGAGAAGGAAAUUAAUGUUUCUUAAUAAUCCUGUUAAAUGUUUGAUUGUUUUUGGAAUGUGUUAUUGUAAAGAUGUCAUGCAGGACGUGUAUAUUGUCUGUUGUAAAAUGUUAACGAAUACUUUGUUCAGGGCUCACUCUCUCUUUGUCAUGAAAGCCAGCUCCUUGUGGCGAGGUAAAGUGGAAUUCCAAUAAAGAAAUUCCUUAAAUCAAAA